UCUCCAUAUUUUUUUGUACCUGUUGAUCAAAUCUUUGUUAUGAUUGAAGUCGAAGUCAACAGCAGGUGAAACUUUUCAAGUGCAUGUGAUCACUCUAGUUUGGUGCAGCCUUGUGCACAUGGAAGAUAGGACUUUCAAAACAAGAAGCCAUUGUUCCUUCUGCACAUAUGGAGUUAAUUCUUUGGAAAUCUUAUCAAUAGUGCCAGUGUAUAGGAGUACAACAAAAUAAAGUGAAUUAAGAUAUAGUUCAUUGAUUGCUCAACAUAAUUAUGCUGACAGUGCCUAGUUUAAGAGCUACAGAUCCAGGUUUCAUGGUAACCAUAUCAGGAAUAGUGGCUGCACAUGAUGUGACCUGUGACCAGCAAGGGACAGCCAGGGGUCUGCUGGGACAGCCAAGGGUCUGCUGAGGUUUCCAAAGACACACUCUACCCCUCCCCCCCCACACACACACCUGUUGGAGCAUCCGAGGUUAUCUUGCCACCCCAUCCUUUACAGACCCCUGAUGAGAUAACAAAAUCAACAACACCCAGUUGUAAAUCCACAUAUUGGGAUUAUGUUAAUACAAAAUGUGACUAAAUAGUAAAAUGAUGUACAUUCUGAUAUAAUUGAAUCUGUAUUGCACGGAAGUAUGGAACCCUGUGGAAGGCAAACUAAUUUUAUUUUAACCUCUCCAUAUCUAUUAUAUUUAUGCCCCCCUUUGAAGAAGAGGGGGUAUAUUGUUUUGCUCAUUGGUCGGUCCGUCCACCAAAUGGUUUCCGAAUGAUAACUCAAGAACGCUUAGGCCUAGGAUCAUGAAACUUCAUAGUAACAUUGACCAUGACUGGCACAUGACCCCUAUUGAUUUUCAGGUCACUAUGUCAAAGGUCAAGGUCACAGUGACUCAAAGCAGUAAAAUGGUUUCAGAAUGAUAACUCAAGAACACUUAGGCCUAGGAUCAUGAAACGUCAUAGGUAUAUUGAUCAUGACUGGCAGAUGACCUCUAUUGAUUUUCAGGUCACUAGGUCGAAGGUCAAGGUCACAGUGACUCGAAACAGUAAAAUGGUUUCCAGAUGAUAACUAUAAUGCUUAGACUUAGGAUCAUGAAACUUCAUAGGUACAUUGAUCAUGACUUGCAGAUGACCCCUAUAGAUUUUCAGGUUCUAGGUCAAAGGUCAAGGUCACAGUGACUCGAAACAGUAAAAUAGUUUCUGGAUGAUAACUCAACAAUGCUUAGGCCAAGGAUCAUGAAUCUUCAUAGUUACAUUGAUCAUGACUGGCAGAUGACCCCUAUUGAUUUUCAGGUCACUAGGUCGAAGGUCAAGGUCACAGUGACUCGAAACAGUAAAAUGGUUUCCUGAUGAUUACUCAAGAAAGCUUACGCCUAGGAUCAUGAAACUUCAUAGGUACAUUGAUCAUGACUGGCAGAUGACCCCUAUUAUUUUUCAGGUCAUUAGGUCAAGGGUCAAGGUCACAGUGACUCGAAACAGUAAAAUGGUUUCCUGAUGAUAACUCAAGAAUAAUUAGGCCUAGGACCAUGAAACUUUAUAGGUACAUUGAUCAUGACUGGCAGAUGACCCCUAUUGAUUUUAAGGUCACUUGGUCAAAGGUCAAGGUCACAGUGACAAAAAACGUAUUCACACAAUGGCUGCCACUACAACUGACAGCCCAUAUGGCGGGGCAUGCAUGUUUUACAAACAUUCCUUGUUAGUUCUUGUUUCAGCUCCAUUGUUCUUUGACUGUGCAAAACCAGAAUAAAUAUAUAAAACCAA